rnacentral:rRNA from 1 species
UACGUAGGGGCCUAGCGUUGUCCGGAUUUAUUGGGCGUAAAGAGCUCGUAGGCGGUUCGGCAAGUCGGAUGUGAAAUCUCCACGCUCAACGUGGAGGGGCCAUUCGAAACUGCCGUGACUCGAGUCCGGUAGGGGAGUGUGGAAUUCCCGGUGUAGCGGUGAAAUGCGCAGAUAUCAGGAAGAACACCCGUGGCUAAGGCGGUUCUCUAGUACGGUACUGACGCUGAGACGCGAAAGCGUGGGGAGCGAACAGG